rnacentral:rRNA from 1 species
CCGGCCAGCAGCCGCGGUAAUACGGAGGGGGUUAGCGUUGUUCGGAAUUACUGGGCGUAAAGCGCACGUAGGCGGAUUAGAAAGUUGGGGGUGAAAUCCCGGGGCUCAACCCCGGAACUGCCUCCAAAACUGCUAGUCUAGAGUUCGAGAGAGGUGAGUGGAAUUCCGAGUGUAGAGGUGAAAUUCGUAGAUAUUCGGAGGAACACCAGUGGCGAAGGCGGCUCACUGGCUCGAUACUGACGCUGAGGUGCGAAAGUGUGGGGAGCAAACAGGAUUAGAUACCCUGGUAGUCCACACCGUAAACGAUGAAUGCCAGUCGUCGGGUAGUAUACUAUUCGGUGACACACCUAACGGAUUAAGCAUUCCGCCUGGGGAGUACGGUCGCAAGAUUAAAACUCAAA